CCAGCCUGACGGAGGCAAGCCCGGGCAAAUAAAUCUGGACUGGCAAACAACCGAAGUCUUUCAACAGGUGAAUCCCGUUGCUGUGAACAUCCAAGUGUCUGUUUUGCAUAUGAAGGUAAAGGUGAGGAGGAAUUCAGGAGGAUCACAACUUUCAUGGAGAAACUGGACUGCUACAUGCCAAGACUGUUGUCUUUAUUCAAGAAGAAAGGAGGUGCUGCAGGGGUGAAAUUGCAGGGGAUCCAGGAAAUGCUGUAUGGGAGCAACACUGUCGAGAAGAGAAGAUAAACCGUGAUCCGUGGCCUCAUCAUAUACCUCAGUGAGAACGUGGAGGACCUUAUCAAAGAAUACCAGGAUGCAGAGGACGCCAACAUCCAAGAGGACCUCACACAACAUGUCCUCAAGAUCUUUGUGGUCAACAAAGGUGCCACCGAUAACGACAAUCCAGUGGAUGUGGAGAUAGCCAUUGAAGGAGCCGAGGUCCUAUCUGGUAUUUCUAGUGUAGCACAAGCAUGCACCUUCUUGAUGGGCCUUAUCUACGCCUUAAACCUAAGCUACCCCAAAGAACUGAAAUAUACCUUUGAGGUAUUCCAGAAAGUCGUCUUGGAACUGAACGUAGAGAAAACCACCUCCAAGGUCCAGUCUCUUAGGAGAAAGUUACUCGCCUAAAUGGCAAGCAUAAAACCCAAAGGUGGAGCUUUUGUGUUUGGAUGAUCGAUCCUUUGUCAGAAUCCAAAAUGUUAAAGCUUAACUUUACCACUUGAACUUCUGAGUUUACUUGAAUGGACAGCUAUUUGUUCAAUUUGCAACAUGUGAAUCUGCUGUUGUUUCUGCCAGAGAAAAUGGAUUUCAACAUGUUAAAUGCUCACAGAUUGACUUUUUCUCUUUGCCUGUUUUGAAUAAGCAAAACCUGAUUAUGUUUGUGUUCAUUUUCAAAUGUUACGGUAGACAAACUAUUUCUUUAAAGGGAUAGUUCACUUUUUUACACCUUAUAGUCAGAUGGUUCCUUACCCUGAAAGUGGUCAAUG